rnacentral:rRNA from 1 species
GCAUAUCAAUAAGCGGAGGAAAAGAAACUAACAAGGAUUCCCCUAGUAACUGCGAGUGAAGCGGGAAAAGCUCAAAUUUAAAAUCUGGCAGCUUUGGCUGUCCGAGUUGUAGUCUGGAGAAGCGUCUUCCGCGCUGGACCGUGUACAAGUCUCUUGGAACAGAGCGUCAUAGAGGGUGAGAAUCCCGUCCAUGACACGGACUACCAGUGCUUUGUGAUGCGCUCUCAAAGAGUCGAGUUGUUUGGGAAUGCAGCUCAAAAUGGGUGGUAAAUUCCAUCUAAAGCUAAAUAUUGGCGAGAGACCGAUAGCGAACAAGUACCGUGAGGGAAAGAUGAAAAGCACUUUGGAAAGAGAGUUAAACAGUACGUGAAAUUGCUGAAAGGGAACCGCUUGAAGUCAGUCGCGUCUUGCAGAACUCAACCUGGCUUUUGCUUGGUGCACUUUCUGUAUGACGGGCCAACAUCAGUUUUGACUGCUGGAAAAAUUCCUUAGGAAUGUGGCACCUACGGGUGUGUUAUAGCCUUUGGUUGUAUACAGUGGUUGGGACUGAGGACCGCAGCACGCCUUAUGGCCGGGGUUCGCCCACGUACGUGCUUAGGAUGUUGGCGUAAUGGCUUUAAGCGACCCGUCUUGAAACACGGACC